UGCAGUAUUUACUGGAGGAGUUGCUGUCUCUGGCGGUGCGGUCGUGCAGUGCGAUGUGGAGAAUACAACUGGAAAAACUCUGCUCCUGUGAUCUUUCAAUGAUGCCCAACCAACAGAAGCAGAUUUCCUCCAUCAUGAGCUUUGCAGUGAGAGGUUUCAAUUCAGAGAGGAUGUGUGGGCACAUUUAUAUUUCACAUCCAACAUCAACCUUGACGACUGGGACUCGAACUACACAGGACUUCGACUGAGGUGAAGGGGACUUGACAUUUAGAUUCACCUUGGACCAAGAUGAGACCAACCUUCAGCCAAGCAGCAGAAGCAAUCAUACUUUCCCACACAUAAAUGAAGGUAUAGGGAGUUUAUGGGACUCGGAAAAAUGCAAUAAAAAGUCUUCUGUGAAUGCA